rnacentral:lncRNA from 1 species
AAAUAGAUUGAUAAGGAGACAACUUAAUAAUAAUACACUAAAGCAUUUUCAGGGGAAUUGUAUCUUAGACUAGUUCUCUUUCCCUUUACAAUGUGUAUAUAAUAUGCAUGUGUGCUUGUUCUUGCUUGCUUGGGAAAAUUUGCACCAAGAAAUGCUUGAAAGACCUUUCCAUUGAAGUGUCAAUCAUCACAUAAAUUAGAUCGUGUAACUGCUGGAAUUACUGAUCCAUGGUGAAUCGGUGAUAAUGUUCCAAUGUAACUUUUUUUUUAUGGUUUUCUUUCAGGUGGAUGGCCGCAAGGAACUUAUUCAAGAAUGAUUAACGUUGAUCAUUUGGACAUCUGACAACACCAAAGUUUUUAUGCUGUACACGGCAACAGGGAUAAGUCAGAGGUGGUGCGGCUACAUGAUUGACCUAGGCAUCCCAUUUUUUUGAUCUCCAUGUCAAUCCAUAGAUUGCUUUUGGGUGUAAAAAAAGGUGGAAGAGUUUAGUAGGUGGUUCGGCCAUUGCAGUUAAGAUGUGCGAGCGUUGAACUCUAUUAAUCUAGAAUGUAUAAUAGCAUCAAUUUUCCUCUCCAUAGAUUUACUUUUAGUUUAAUUUUCUGUUGAUAUCAGUUUCUCAAAGGCUUCAUGAGAUAACAUUUGAUUAUUAUUAUGGGGCAAAAGAAAUAGGGAUAACGGGGAUAGAAAUGUAUUUGAUUAAAAAGACAUGAAUGUAUUCAUAAAAAAAAUAUUGUUUCAUUGAUGAUUUUG